rnacentral:rRNA from 6 species
ACAUACGACCAUACCUACCAGAAAAUACGGGAUCCCGUCCGCUCUCCCAUAGUCAAGCUGGUAAGGGGCGGAUUAGUAGUUGGGUCGGUGACGACCAGCGAAUCCCCGCUGUUGUAUGU